rnacentral:rRNA from 1 species
CGAUAUCAGGCACAUAAAACUAGCCCAUAACAUCUUGCUAAGCCACACCCCCAAGGGAAGUCAGCAGUGAUAAACAUUAAGCCAUAAGUGAAAACUUGACUUAAUUAAAGCUAAAUAGGGCCGGUAAAACUCGUGCCAGCCACCGCGGUUAUACGAGAGACCCAAGUUGAUAAAACACGGCGUAAAGCGUGGUUAAGAACAACUAAAAAUAAAGUCAAAUAUCUCCAAGGCUGUUAUACGCACCCGAAGAUUAGAAGUCCAACCACGAAAGUGACUUUAUAUUCCUGAAU